UACGAAGGGGGCUAGCGUUGCUCGGAAUCACUGGGCGUAAAGCGCACGUAGGCGGCUUGUUAAGUCAGGGGUGAAAUCCUGGAGCUCAACUCCAGAACUGCCUUUGAUACUGGCGAGCUUGAGUUCGGGAGAGGUGAGUGGAACUGCGAGUGUAGAGGUGAAAUUCGUAGAUAUUCGCAAGAACACCAGUGGCGAAGGCGGCUCACUGGCCCGAUACUGACGCUGAGGUGCGAAAGCGUGGGGAGCAAACA
rnacentral:rRNA from 1 species